GAUGAACGCUGGCGGCGUGCCUAAUACAUGCAAGUCGAGCGAACGGACGAGAAGCUUGCUUCUCUGAUGUUAGCGGCGGACGGGUGAGUAACACGUGGAUAACCUACCUAUAAGACUGGGAUAACUUCGGGAAACCGGAGCUAAUACCGGAUAAUAUUUUGAACCGCAUGGUUCAAAAGUGAAAGACGGUCUUGCUGUCACUUAUAGAUGGAUCCGCGCUGCAUUAGCUAGUUGGUAAGGUAACGGCUUACCAAGGCAACGAUGCAUAGCCGACCUGAGAGGGGGGCCGGCCACACGGGAACGGAGACAGGGUCCAAACCCCGAGGGGGGGCAGAGGUGGGGAAUCUUCCAAAAUGGGAGAAGGCCGGAGGGAGCAAGGCCGGGUGAGUGAUGAAGGUCUUCGGAUCGAAAAACUCUGUUAUGAGGGAAGAAAAUAUGUAAAAGUAACUGUGCACAUCUGGACGGUACAUAAAAAAAAAGCCACGGCUAACUCCGGG
rnacentral:rRNA from 1 species